rnacentral:rRNA from 1 species
GAGUUUGAUCCUGGCUCAGAUUGAACGCUGGCGGCAGGCUUAACACAUGCAAGUCGAACGGUAACAUGAGUGCUUGCACUUGAUGACGAGUGGCGGACGGGUGAGUAAAGUAUGGGGAUCUGCCGAAUGGAGGGGGACAACAGUUGGAAACGACUGCUAAUACCGCAUAAAGUUGAGAGACCAAAGCAUGGGACUUACGGGCCAUGCGCCAUUUGAUGAACCCAUAUGGGAUUAGCUAGUUGGUAGGGUAAUGGCUUACCAAGGCGACGAUCUCUAGCUGGUCUGAGAGGAUGACCAGCCACACUGGAACUGAGACACGGUCCAGACUCCUACGGGAGGCAGCAGUGGGGAAUAUUGCACAAUGGGGGGAACCCUGAUGCAGCCAUGCCGCGUGUAUGAAGAAGGCCUUCGGGUUGUAAAGUACUUUCGGUAACGAGGAAGGUGGUGUAUCUAAUAGGUGCAUCAAUUGACGUUAAUUACAGAAGAAGCACCGGCUAACUCCGUGCCAGCAGCCGCGGUAAUACGGAGGGUGCGAGCGUUAAUCGGAAUGACUGGGCGUAAAGGGCAUGUAGGCGGAUAAUUAAGUUAGGUGUGAAAGCCCUGGGCUCAACCUAGGAAUUGCACUUAAAACUGGUUAACUAGAGUAUUGUAGAGGAAGGUAGAAUUCCACGUGUAGCGGUGAAAUGCGUAGAGAUGUGGAGGAAUACCGGUGGCGAAGGCGGCCUUCUGGACAGAUACCGACGCUGAGAUGCGAAAGCGUGGGGAGCAAACAGGAUUAGAUACCCUGGUAGUCCACGCUGUAAACGAUGUCGAUUUGGAGUUUGUUGCCUAGAGUGAUGGGCUCCGAAGCUAACGCGAUAAAUCGACCGCCUGGGGAGUACGGCCGCAAGGUUAAAACUCAAAUGAAUUGACGGGGGCCCGCACAAGCGGUGGAGCAUGUGGUUUAAUUCGAUGCAACGCGAAGAACCUUACCUGGUCUUGACAUCCACAGAAUCUUGCAGAGAUGCGAGAGUGCCUUCGGGAACUGUGAGACAGGUGCUGCAUGGCUGUCGUCAGCUCGUGUUGUGAAAUGUUGGGUUAAGUCCCGCAACGAGCGCAACCCUUAUCCUUUGUUGCCAUUGGUUCGGCCGGGAACUCAAAGGAGACUGCCGUUGAUAAAGCGGAGGAAGGUGGGGACGACGUCAAGUCAUCAUGGCCCUUACGACCAGGGCUACACACGUGCUACAAUGGCGUAUACAAAGGGAGGCGA